GGGCAAUGAGUUGAACCAUUCUAACACCUCUCCCUUCAAUGACAAGGAGAACGCUUAACACCAUAUGGCAUCACUACCAGUGCAUAAUGCCAUCGUGUUGGAGAAGGUCUUGAUGUAGGCCUCCGGGUCGGUCGUCCCGUCAUAUACCUUGAAUUGGUGUGGAACGAAUUUUCGAAUAUGUGUACGUCCAUGAUUGCCUG
rnacentral:lncRNA from 1 species